AUCAGCCGGCAUUUUGGUCAGGAUAUCUUCUUCGUCCAUGGUGACCAAGCCACCAGUCCGCCACACGCUCCAAUUCCGCCGCCGACAUCCUCUACUCCCGCUCCGCCCUUGCAACCCCGCUGCAACCCUCGGUGAUCCCCGCGCCGCCCGUUCUAUGUCCUCCAUUUCCUGAGAGCUGCGUCGCCGGAAACCGCUGCUGCGGCCACCGGUGCGCACGCGAAGAGUCCCGAU
rnacentral:lncRNA from 1 species